rnacentral:lncRNA from 1 species
GCGAGACUCCGUCUCAAAAAAAAAAAAAGAAACGCUGUUGGGGGCAGGAGCCUGGAUCUCAACCCCUGCAAGGUGGAAAUCUGGCUUCCUCUCACCCAUACGAGCCUGCCAGAGGCAGGAGGCUGACGCCCCGGAGGGACCAGCUGACAUCGGCCUUGAGGGACCAGACUUCUCCAGGCCGGCAACCUUCUCCCAGCUUUGUGAGGUGGAGCCCAACCUCCAGACCAAGAGAGGCCUUCCUGACCUUCAACCCCAUCUCCAGAGCUCCCCAGAGCUGGUCUAGCCCCUCAUCUGACACACAGAGAAACGGAGACCAGGAACCUGACGCUGGUUUCCCUAGCCCAUGUGAGGACCCUGUAGACCAGCUACAUGCACACCCAGUCCAGCCGCCGGACAGCGUUCAGUGGGAAGAGAGCAGACCAUCGUCCACCCACAUUCCAGACUCCAACUGGCAGAGGGGAGGGGACGUUGGGGCUGCAGGGCCACCAAUGUGGACGGGACAGAGCCCCAGGGACAGCCUGUGCUGGGGACGUAUGGGGGCAGGAUCAGACCCCACAGUGCCUGCGGGCCACAAGGCCAAGACAGGAUCUGGUAAGUGACGAUUUGGAGGCUGGUCCUGAGGUGCAAGAGGGAGUGCCAGGGACAGAGAGGGCACCGGGGUGACUACAGUCCCUCCAGACUCACAUCUACCCGCACCUGUGGGUGGGGCCUUAUUUGCAUACAGGGUCUUUGCACACGUGGUUGGUUACAAUGAGGAUGCUGGAGGGGGUGGUCUGUGUCCCUGUUAACAACUCAUGUCCUUAAGAGAAAAGAGGAACGUGGACACCCACACAUCGGGAGACGGCCGCAUGGAGACGGAGCAGAGGCUGGAGUGACGCGGCCGCAGACCAAGGGCGCCUGGAGCCCCGGAAGCUGGGAGGGGCAGGAAGGGUCCUCCCCUGGAGCUACUCCUUGACCUCAGCUUCCUGUGGCCUCCAGGACAGGGACAGGCUGCUCUAAGCCACCCAGUUUGCAGCACUGCUGCGGCCGCCACGAGAAGCUCGUCCAGGGAGGAGGCUGCUCCAGCCCUGAGCCCCACGCGACUCCCGUGAGCACGAGGACUCGGGUGCCCUGGGGGAAAGGUGUACUGGCCAGACUCAGCGCCCUGAGGACGGGGUCGGAACCCAGCGCCCAGGAAGCUCCCCUCCCCCCGACCAAGGACCUCCCUCCAGGGUGUGCCCGGAGGAGGUCAAGACUCCACUGCCCUGAAGCAAACAAGGCGUCCAGCCCGAGCCAGGGUCACACGCCCAACAGGUAGGAUCCAGCAACCCCUGCGCAGCAGCCCCCGCCAUGCGAGGGAGGACCCGGAGUUGAGCGUGGCCCUGCCUGACAUCUGACCCCGCCGUCAGGAGCUCCACCAGACGUUAAGCUAAAUCCCCACUCACUCCAGACUUCCGGUCCUUUGAAAUGGAGGUGCCCUUGUGUGUCUUCAAUCCAUGUGGAGGGUAGUCUGGCCCAUCCCACACCUGCUACUGUCACUGCCUCACAUCAGCGGCCUCAGGCCACAAGGUCUCCCCACCUGGCUCCUUGGGGAGUGCCAAGCGUUGCCAGCAGCCGGGCUAUGCUGAUCCCAGACAAGUGGCUCGACCGGUCACCACUGUCCUUGAGCUUAAGUCCAGCCUUGGUGACAAAAAUGUCACAAGGACCUGCAUCCGAGCCCUGAGGGCAUCAGGUCCUGGAGGAGGAGGAAGAGUCCCUUCUGGCUUCGGGCUGGGCUUGAGGACGGCAGCUCCAAGACCGCUUAGAGCGAGACUUCAGCGCUGACUGCUGGAGCUACGCACCCUGUCCUGACAAUGGCCGCACAGUUAGGCGCUGCUCCACGCCUGGAGGAGGGAACUGAGGGCCCGAAAUCACAGAAGCAGGAACUCCAGGUUCGCCAGUGCGGCCUGAUCCACCUUCCCUCAAACGUAGCUGCUGACAACGACACCCACGCGCCCUCUCUGGGCCCAGCAGGUCAGAGGUCCAGGUGGGCUGGCUGCUCCACGGCCACGGCUCCAAGGCCAAGGUCAAGGCACUGCUGUCCUGGGCCCUGGUCUGGGUUCUCCGGGAGAGUCCGCGCCUGAGCUCGGCCGGGGGCGGGAUUCUGCUCCCUGUGGCCACUGGGCUGAGGCCCCACUUCCCUGCUUUCGGGGAGCCACGUCCCCCAUCACGCCAUCCCUCCCUCCUAAAAGCCAGCAGGGCAAGGUCCCUCUUAGGCUUCUGACCUGACCUCCCCUCCUCCAGCUGGAGAAGGGUCCCACGCAUGAGGACAUUUGUGACGAUGCCGGGACCCGAGGAAUCCAGGACGACCCCUCUGCAGAGCCCCUGUGCCCCGGGAGGCACCACACCCACGGCUCCAGGGGGUGGGGGGGACGGUGGCUUCUCUGGGGCUGACCCAGACCUGCAGUACACAGCGCCAGGCCAUGAGGUCUCAGCCUGCGGUCAGGCCGCGUGCACGGAAACCCAGGCUCCUGAACGGCCAGCCAGGAGCAAAGCCGGCCACUGAGUACGGGAGCAGGCUCCGGGGACACGCUCCCACUCCUUUUAGGGGCCCAGAGGCUGUGGAUGAGGAGCUCGAGUAUCCCCCUCUCAGUGUAACCUCCCCACCCCUCCCACAUCCUCCAAGUGGGGCAGGAGCCGCCUCACCAGAGCUGGGGGAGGGGGCCACACAGGUGCACCCCUGGGGAGGGGCAGCGGAGACUUGUGGGCAGGAAUGUGGCCAGGGUUUCUAGAUCAUCUGGUUUUUCAAGAGAAGCCACAAGUCUGCGUUUGAGGGUGGCAGCCCCUGGUGUUCCAAAGUCGGCAAGCAAUUCAAGCAUCCACACCCCCACCCCGGGGCAGCGUUGGGUGCCCAGACCUCAGGGCCACCCCGAGAGCUCCUGCAUCCACCUGGGGGCUCGCAGCUCCCCCAAGCUCCUGGCGGGUAGCAGUCAUUCCAGGAUCUGAUAAAAGCCCCCGAAAAUGCCCCGGUCAGCCCAGCCACACCCGGGCAACACCGACAGCCAUUCUCCACCAGGGCCCCAGCGCCCAGCUGAGUGAGACCCACCCGGUAGCUUCCGGGGCUGGGCCCCUGCCCCACCAGUGAAAACAUUCUGGUCACAGUGAUGCCGCCCUGAGAAGCUCCUCACCGUCCCCCGUGGCCUUGGAACCCCCCUCACACCCAUGGGUUCCAGGCACCCUGGCGGCUGUCUGUCCCCACGAAGCCUGGCCCUCUCACAGCGUAGGGAGGCUGCGGUCACCAGCGUGGGUCCCGCGACCCAUUCCACCCGGCCCCUGGGCACCGGAAGCCAGGCGGCGAGCGCAGCAGACCCCAGAGGCAGCUUUCCUCA